GUGUAUUUGUCAGAGGGAUUUCUUUUUUUUUUAAGUGCAAACUUUAUUCACAUUUCCUUAGUUUUUAAGUAAUGUCCUUUUUCUUUUGUCUUUUUUUUUUUUUUGUCUCUUUACGGCCACACCCAUGGCAUAUGGAAGUUCACAGGCUAGAGGUCAAAUUGGAGCUACACCACAGCAACGCAGGAUCUGAGCCACAUCUUCAACCUACACCACAGUUCAUGGCAACGCCGGAUCCUCAUGGCAGCUCCUGAGCAAGGCCAGAGAUCAAACCUGCAUCCUCACGGAUGCUAGUCGGGUUUGUUACCACUGAGCCACAAUGGAAACUCCAUGUCAGAGGGAUUUCCUAACCAUCAUGUGCAAUGUAAACAGUUAAUGGGACUGUCCUAUGAUUGAUAUGAGAGUCACUAUUGCUAGUUGUGGAGGAGACGAGGGCCCCAUUACAAACUCAUGGAUUAUUUUAUCACAGUUUCUUUGCAGACUUCAUUUCUGCCUUCCGCCUCCGGAGUGCUGGAAUGGUUUGCCAGUGGCCCCUCCUUUCCCUCCUCAAGUGGCAGUGACACCUGGCCAUCUCUCAUGCAGGAAGUCUUGGCUGAACGAUCACGGAGAAUGACUCACAGAAUCAAAGGAUGGAGGGAAGACAUUCUGAGCUACGUGGGGACACAGGGAAGAGCUGGUGGCCCUGCAGUUUCGACCACUUGAAGAAACGUCUCUAGUUUGGGGUCCCACCCACCGCUGGCAGCUUUUCCGGUCCCUUGGUAAGUGGACUGGAACAUCACAGCUGACUUUGCCAUUAUGGUCUUCAAAAUCAACACCAUCAAAUCCCCUUUAUAAUAGCAGAUAAAAGUUUCUGCUCCACUGUCACUCAGGAAUGGCUAGUCUGCCCUAACCCAGUCUUCUGGACUGCUAUGAGGUGACCAGUCCCAUAGUUGUGAAUGGGAUUUAUCUUUUAUAAGGUGGUGUGCAUAUAAUUUACUUGGGCAUCUAGGAUGACCAGUCCUUGUUGCUCUUCAGGACAGCCCCGUCACUUCCUUAUCAUCCGCGUUCUUCGUGCUCUCCAGAAGCCAUCGUUCGGUGGAAUGGUCCUUGAUUUCUUUGCAU
rnacentral:lncRNA from 1 species